AUAAACAAAAUGCGCUGAGGGUUCGCGCGUGUAUUUUGUAGCUUGAUUUUUAUGAUAAAUAUGCUAUAUGGAAAGGUGAAAGCGAUUGAAAUGAAUAAAAUACAAUCCAUACUUACUAACAAAACCGACGAUUCGGAUUGACAACGAGAAGUAAGCGUAAAAAUAGCGAUACAACUAGGCUGGAGUCAAUCUUGGUCGCCAGACGCUCGUUAAAGAUAUAGCAAGAAAACGUCUCAAAACUGCCAAUCUUCCACUUAAACAAACAAAUGUCACCAAAAGUUUUACCUCAACGAUUCGAAGAAAGGCUAGAGCUAUUGAAGUGUCUAGGGCUAUGGAUCCUUGUCAAAAUAAUAUGUUUCGGGAGAGUGUGAUAUCUUUUUACUGCGACUGAGGGAUGACUGCUAAAAAAAUCAGUAGCAAGACGGUUUGACACCUUGACCCCUACCAAAAUAAGAUGACAGCUUGACACCUUGUCCCCUAUUUUCAUUUUUGCGCAAAGCCCAGACCCUUAGCUCAAAGGUUAAGGUCACAAUUGGAGGUCAAAGAUCAAUAAGUUUUUUUUCCUGUCCGAUCUAGAACUCUCUCAUCCAUUAAGGGAUUACAAUAUUACUUUCCAUAAAUGUUCCCCAUGAUGAGAUGACGUGUCAUGCACAAUGCCCAGUAUCCUAGCUUAAACGUCACUUUUGAGAUCAAACGUCAAGAGGAUUUUUUUCCAGUCUGACCCCUAUUAUUUUGCAGUCACUCUUCAAGGUCAAGGUCACAGGGGUCUGAGCAUGGAAAACCAUUUCUUAUCAAUAAUUUGAGAACCACUUGACCAAGAAUGUUCAAACUUCAUAGGAUGGUUGAACAUGUAGAAUAACUAACCCUAACCCUUCUUAAUUUUGGGGUGACUAUUAAAGGUCAUGGCCACAGCAGCUAGAAUAUGGAAAUCAAUUUCCUGGCAGUAACUUGAGAACCAUUUGACCUAGAACCUUCAAACUUCAUAGGGUGGUAGGACUUAUAGAGUAAAUGACCUCUAUUGUUUUUGGGGUCACUCAAUCAAAGGUCAACAUCACAGGGGCUAUCUCUCUGUCACACUUAAUUCUUUCAAUAACUGGAGAACUGUUUGACCUAGAACCUUAAAGCUUCAUAGGGUGAUAGGGCCUGUAAUAUUUUAGGGUAGUAGAUCAAAGGUCAAUGUCACAGGGGCCUGAACAUGGAAAGUUGUUGCUUAUAAAAAACUAGAGAACUACCUUAUUGCCUGGGGCAGGUAAAAGUGGAGUGUGGGCAAGCAAAAAAUUAUACUCAGUUGCCCAUGGCAUCAUACAAGUGAAAUAUUUGAAAUGUUUGAAAGAUCCCCAAAAAUUACUCUAUGGGCAAGUGCUCAACAGAGUUAAGCCGAUCCCUGAGAUACAUCAAUAUUGAUGAACACAGAACAUCAGACCUCUACCACUGGCAUCCUGUACCUUCACCAGAACAGACCAGAUACCUCACAAGACAGAAAGUGUGUGUCCAGCAAAGCAUUCAAUGGUUGAAGCUCUAAUAUCAGGUUGUAAUGGUUUUAGUACAAACACAGAAGAGAGAAGGUGGCUGGAAAACUGCAAUUCAGAGGGAUGAAAAUCUGAUCUGAUAAUUUGUUGUGAAACGGGUAAAAUUCAUAUGGAACUUUGAAGAAGACAAAUACCAGAAACUUAGGGUUAGAAGUUAACAGUACAUGUUCAUAUUUCCAUGAGGCGAAAGGUUUGAGCUGCGAACACCAAAGCAAAAGGUGGUCCCAGCCUGAGAGUACUUCCAUUGAAGCAGAAAAGUUGAUGCCAUUGCAAAACUGACCUGGCAAGACCUAUAUGUAGGACUAUAUGCAGCCCAAAUACCCAAACCUAUUCACCUGGAUUGAAUUGCUGUUAACUCUCCUUUCUAGCUCUGUGGAUGCAGAGCUAGGAUUCUCAAGCCUGUCAAAUUCACCAAUCACAGUCUCAGUAUAGACACAGAUGAUGUGUUUCUAAUUGCUAAAGAACUUGACGUGGCUAGGGAAGGUGUAUGUGAUGAUGAUGGUGACAAUGACGACAAUGCCGCUGAUGAUGAGGACUACAUGCACAGACAAGACCUCAUUGCUGUCAAAACAGAGCUUAUAGACUUAUGAUGGACCUUGUUGAAUAAUAAUAACUAAAAAUAUGUAAUAAUAAUUGAGUUAAGUUGAAUAAUAUGACAGAAGUUUACUUAAAUUGCUCAACAGGCAGUAGAACCACCUGAAAUCUUGUUGGACCAGUAGUUUGCAAAAGUUGCCGGUCCUUUGGGCCACCACAUAAAAAAAGUUAUUGUCUAGCCCUGAACGUGUCGACAACUGGGCUUAACCGGCUGAACAGUUUAUGGCACCAUUACCUAGUAUUUGUUGUAGUGUGCCAGUGAGAGCAUUUGUCCAUUCAGCAUUGGAUUAUGUAGGACCUUUCAUUACUGUCCAAGGUCAAGGAAAACAGCCUGAAAUUUAUGUCUGUUUACUUGUCUGAACACAUGGGCUGUUCAUCUUGAAAUCUCAUUUGGAAUAGAUACUGAUGCAUUUCUAAAUUUAUUUUAUCAAUUUGCUGGUCGUACAGUUCUGUCGAAUAAUGGAACAAACUUUGUCGAUAGUGAAAAGGAACGCAGAUAAUUAGUAAAUGUGCUGAAUCAUGAUCAAAUAAAAGAAAAGACAGCAAAUAAAGGAGUUCAGUGGCAUUUCAUUCCUAGAUUAGCACCAUAUUGGGGAGGUGUACAUGAAAUCAUGAGUCAUUAAUUCCAUGUUACAGAAUGCAACAGUGUCAGAUAAGGAACUUAUGACCGCAUUUGUAGGAGCAGAAUCUCUUAUCAAUUUGAGACCUCUUAUUUAUCAGUCAGCUAACCCUGCUGAUUGCAUACUUCUUACUCCAAAUCAUUUCCAGCUUGGACAAAUAGGAGGAGAGUGCGCUCCUGAGAGCCUUGAUACAAAUGAUUUCAAUCCUAGAAAUAGUGCAAUUUCAAGAGUUAGUCCGAAACUUCUGAAGCUGUUGGAUUCGUGAAUGGUUGCCAAACCUAUGCACCUCCAAGAAAUGGAACUGAGUUUGACCAGAUCUGAAAGUUGGAGAUGUCCUUAUCAUGGUAUAGCCUGGCACGCCUCCAGCACAUUGGCCUUUAGAUCAUGUUACACGUGUUUAUACAAGUCACGAUGGUCAUGUGAGAGCAGCAAACAUUUUAGUAAAUGGUAAAGAAUUCACACAGCCCAUUACAAAGUUAUGCCCAUUAGAAAUUAACAGCAGUGAUUAACAGUAAUGUGUUAUGCAGAAAUGUUGCAUUUUUUAUGACAAAAGUGUAAAUAUUUCACAUGUGGAGGGCAUAAUAAUCCUUCAAAAAUAAUUUCGCGUGUGGAGGGCAUAAUAAUCCCUCAAAAAUAAUUUCGCAUGUGGAGGGCAUAAUCCCUCAAAAAUAAUGUCGCAUGUGGAGGGCAUAAUAAUCCCUCAAAAAUAAUUUCGCAUGUGAAGGGCAUAAUCCCUCAAAAAUAAUGUCGCUUGUGGAGGGCAUAAUAAUCCCUCAAAAAUAAUGUCGCAUGUGGAGGGCAUAAUAAUCCCUCAAAAAUAAUGUCGCAUGUGGAGGGCAUAAUAAUCCCUCUAAAAUAAUGUCGCAUGUGGAGGGCAUAAUAAUCCCUCAAAAAUGAUUCUGCGUGUGGAGGCCAUAAUAAUCCCUCAAUAUAUUUUAAAAUAAAGAAAUAUCUGAAACAUUAUAUUAUAAUCUUGGGCAAAGAGAAAGACAUUUUUCUCUUUCAGGAAAAUAGAAGAUGCACUGUAUAAAAAGAUGAAGAAGAUUGUAUUAUCAUUACUAUGUAUUGUAAUUUUUGACAUGUAUAUAUUUUCAGACAUAUAAUUGAAUUCUUGUAUCACAUAAGGCAAUUUUUCAAAAUGUUUGAAAUCAAUGAUACAAAAUUAAAAACAUGAAUACUUUUAUUAUUUGAACGCAUUGUAUUAAAUUGUGUUAUACCAAAAGGUCAUAAAUUUUGUCAAAAUUAA
rnacentral:lncRNA from 1 species